UUUCUCAGGGCAGGGUGGAAUUCCCUACCGGCGGUCAAAGUCCGCGACUCCCCGGCGACGGGGACUGAACCGGUGGAACUCCGGUACCGACGGUAAAGUCCGGAUGGAAGAGAA
rnacentral:ncRNA from 1 species